rnacentral:lncRNA from 1 species
CGAUUGCAAACUUGCUGCACGAUGGAGCGACAAACGUAACGGUUUUUUUGGCGGUGCUGGACGAAUUUUCGAAUUGAUCUCGUGACAACUAUAUGUUCCUGACAUUUCCGAGUGUUCCGAAGCUCGAGAUUGAUUAUCCUGAAAGACACGAGCCGUUAUGUGAAUAAUAUCUUACUUCAUGCAAUUGAAGAACAUUACAACGUAGAUAUGAUCAUUCUGAACAGUUCGGUAUCAUAUAAUGAAUUGAAUAUUGAUGAACUUACCUGCAUUCGAUAAAAGCAGUGGAAUCGAGUCGUGAGGAGCGCCUUCGUUGCGAUUGCAACUGUCCCUGUGAUUGAUGAAAAUCUAAGCUCGCGGUUGAGCGUGUUAAUUGAAAAUUCGUCAACGAUACGCCCUUCUGACGACUUCGGGAUUUUUGGUGGCCGUUUGUCGCACUAUCCGAUGAAAAAUCAAGCAAUUCCUUCGGAUUACGAGAAUCUUGAACGAAUGUUCGUCCUUGAUCGGUUUGACGCGUUCGUACGCAUACAGAUUGAAAUACCGAAUAAAAUUUUUUUAAUAUUAUGUACCUGGACAUGAUCCUGGUGACUCGGCGGUGUCUCGACAACGGUAAUUUCGGGUCGUGCUGGCGCCAAAA